UACGUAAAGUGCCAGCGUUGUCCGGAAUUACUGGGCGUAAAGAGUUCGUAGGCGGUUUGUCGCGUCGUUUGUGAAAACAGCAGCUCAACUGCUGGCUUGCAGGCGAUACGGGCAGACUUGAGUACUGCAGGGGAGACUGGAAUUCCUGGUGUAGCGGUGAAAUGCGCAGAUAUCAGGAGGAACACCGGUGGCGAAGGCGGGUCUCUGGCCAGUAACUGACGCUGAGGAACGAAAGCGUGGGUAACGAACAGGAUUAGAUACCCUGGUAGUCCACGCCGUAAACGGUGGGCGCUAGGUGUGGGUUCCUUCCACGGAAUCCGUGCCGUAGCUAACGCAUUAAGCGCCCCGCCUGGGGAGUACGGCCGCAAGGGUAAAACUCACAGCAAUUGACGGGGGCCCGCACAAGCGGCGGCCCAUGUGGAUUAAUUCGAUGCAACGCGAAGAACCUUACCUGGGUUUGACAUAUACCGGAAAGCUGCAGAGAUGUGGCCCCCCUUGUGGUCGGUAUACAGGUGGUGCAUGGCUGUCGUCAGCUCGUGUCGUGAGAUGUUGGGUUAAGUCCCGCAACGAGCGCAACCCCUAUCUUAUGUUGCCAGCACGUUAUGGUGGGGACUCGUAAGAGACUGCCGGGGUCAACUCGGAGGAAGGUGGGGACGACGUCAAGUCAUCAUGCCCCUUAUGUCCAGGGCUUCACACAUGCUACAAUGGCCAGUACAGAGGGCUGCGAGACCGUGAGGUGGAGCGAAUCCCUUAAAGCUGGUCUCAGUUCGGAUCGGGGUCUGCAACUCGACCCCGUGAAGUCGGAGUCGCUAGUAAUCGCAGAUCAGCAACGCUGCGGUGAAUACGUUCCCGGGC
rnacentral:rRNA from 1 species